AGUACUGCCAGACGUUGGAACCGGGAGGAGGUAAGAGGUACGUACAGGGGUAGGGAGUCGAAAGUACUUGUAAUCCCUCGUGGGACCGACCUGUGGCGAAGGCGUCUUACCAGAACGGGUUCGACGGUGAGGACGAAAGCUGGGGGCACGAACCGGAUUAGAUACCCGGGUAGUCCCAGCCGUAAACGAUGCUCGCUAGGUGUCAGGCAUGGCGCGACCGUGUCUGGUGCCGCAGGGAAGCCGUGAAGCGAGCCACCUGGGAAGUACGGCCGCAAGGCUGAAACUUAAAGGAAUUGGCGGGGGAGCACAACAACGGGUGGAGCCCUGCGGUUUAAUUGGACUCAACGCCGGACAACUCACCGGGGGCGACAGCAAUAUGUAGGCCAAGCUGAAGACUUUGCCUGAAUCGCUGAGAAGAGGUGCAUGG
rnacentral:rRNA from 1 species